ACCGCUCAAGGUCCGUUCGCAAAAUCGUCUGGCAGGGGCGGGGGAACCACUUCCGGUCUUCGAAAGAAGGCCUAGGGGUUAAGUCGCAAUGCUUCCGUGGAAGCAGCGUGGCCGGAUGACUCCCAUCCGAAUCCGACAGCUCACCUCGCAGGCACUGGGAGAGGCUAC
rnacentral:sRNA from 2 species